AGGACGAACGCUGGCGGCGUGCUUAACACAUGCAAGUCGAGCGGAAAGGCCCUUCGGGGUACUCGAGCGGCGAACGGGUGAGUAACACGUGAGUAAUCUGCCCCCAGCUCUGGGAUAGCUCCGGGAAACCGGGAUUAAUACCGGAUACGACCACCUUAGACAUCUUUUGUGGUGGAAAGAAUUUCGGCUAGGGAUGAGCUCGCGGCCUAUCAGCUUGUUGGUGGGGUAACGGCCUACCAAGGCGACGACGGGUA
rnacentral:rRNA from 1 species